AAAGAAACAGAAACAUACACAGGGGGUUGGUGAAUGGUGCCGACCGCGGCCAUCGCAGUUGGAGGCUAUUUUUUGGGGGGGUGAGUAGCGUCCAAGGAGUUACUUUGCGCCCACUCCUAGCGGCACCGGCUCAGGUCCUGCAGGCCGACUGUCCCCGGCGGGGGGCGUGGGGCCUGGGACGCCGCGGGCCCGGCCGCCUCCCUCGCCGCGACCCCGGAUGGAUGCGCGCCCCCCGCCCUCCCGCGCCGGCCCCAGGAGCUCCCGGCUUCGGGAGCAUCCUUCCCGCGCCGGUCCCUGCAGCGGCGCGUAGCCGAGGGCAGCGCCCGUCAGGGGGGCACCGCGGAGCAAGAUGGAAGAGAAGAGGCGAAAAUACUCCAUCAGCAGUGACAACUCUGACACCACUGACAAAAGCCAGGCCUGCCUGUGCCUGUUGGAGUAAGGAGUUCCAUCUGCUGUGGGUAGGAGGGUUGUGCUGCCAGGAAGAUCUCACCUAGCAAUGAUUGCCCUGCUGGAGGCCCAGGCUAAGGAAGAGGCUGCCCUGCCAAGGA
rnacentral:sRNA from 1 species